AGGGCACCACCAGGAGUGGAGCCUGCGGCUUAAUUUGACUCAACACGGGAAAACUCACCCGGCCCGGACACUGGAAGGAUUGACAGAUUGAGAGCUCUUUCUUGAUUCAGUGGGUGGUGGUGCAUGGCCGUUCUUAGUUGGUGGAGUGAUUUGUCUGGUUAAUUCCGAUAACGAACGAGACUCUAGCCUACUAAAUAGAUCGUCGGCUUACAAACGCCGGCGAGACUUCUUAGAGGGACAAACGGUGAUUCAACCGUACGAAACAGAGCAAUAACAGGUCUGUGAUGCCCUUAGAUGUCCGGGGCCGCACGCGCGCUACACUGAAGUGAUCAGCGUGCUUUUUCAACCUACUCUGUCAAGAGUGGGGAACCCAAUGAACCUUCUUCGUGAUUGGGAUAGGGGAUUGUAAUUAUUCCCCUUGAACGAGGAAUUCCCAGUAAGCGCGAGUCAUAAGCUCGCGUUGAUUACGUCCCUGCCCUUUGUACACACCGCCCGUCGCUACUACCGAUUGAAUGUUUU
rnacentral:rRNA from 1 species